ensembl:rRNA 5S_rRNA 5S ribosomal RNA
GUCCAUACCAGCCUGAAAAUGCCUGACCUCAGAAGCCAAGCAGGGUCGGGCCUGGUUAGUACUAGGUGGGAGAAAAGGCCUGGAUU